rfam:Salmo salar isolate Sally breed double haploid chromosome ssa17, whole genome shotgun sequence.
GCAUUGGUGGUUCAGUGGUAGAAUUCUCGCCUGCCACGCGGGAGGCCGGGUUCGGAUCCCAGCCCAUGCA